UCGAGGGGCAUCAUGACCUAGCAAUAGGUUGAUGGCGACCGGCGCACGGGUGAGUAACACGUAUCCAACCUGCCGAUUAUUCCGGGAUAGCCUUUCGAAAGAAAGAUUAAUACUGGAUAGCAUAACGAGAAGGCAUCUUCUUGUUAUUAAAGAAUUUCGAUAAUCGAUGGGGAUGCGUUCCAUUAGUUUGUUGGCGGGGUAACGGCCCACCAAGACAUCGAUGGAUAGGGGUUCUGAGAGGAAGGUCCCCCACAUUGGAACUGAGACACGGUCCAAAGUCCUACGGGAGGCAGCAGUGAGGAAUAUUGGUCAAUGGACGAGAGUCUGAACCAGCCAAGUAGCGUGAAGGAUGACUGCCCUAUGGGUUGUAAACUUCUUUUAUAUGGGAAUAAAGUGCAGUAUGUAUACUGUUUUGUAUGUACCAUACGAAUAAGGAUCGGCUAACUCCGUGCCAGCAGCCGCGGUAAUACGGAGGAUCCGAGCGUUAUCCGGAUUUAUUGGGUUUAAAGGGAGCGUAGGCGGAUUAUUAAGUCAGUUGUGAAAGUUUGCGGCUCAACCGUAAAAUUGCAGUUGAUACUGGUAGUCUUGAGUGCAGCAGAGGUAGGCGGAAUUCGUGGUGUAGCGGUGAAAUGCUUAGAUAUCACGAAGAACUCCGAUUGCGAAGGCAGCUUACUGGACUGUAACUGACGCUGAUG
rnacentral:rRNA from 1 species